rnacentral:rRNA from 1 species
UACGUAGGGUGCGAGCGUUAAUCGGAAUUACUGGGCGUAAAGCGUGCGCAGGCGGUUUGUUAAGACAGAUGUGAAAUCCCCGGGCUUAACCUGGGAACUGCAUUUGUGACUGGCAAGCUAGAGUAUGGCAGAGGGGGGUAGAAUUCCACGUGUAUCAGUGAAAUGCGUAGAGAUGUGGAGGAAUACCGAUGGCGAAGGCAGCCCCCUGGGCCAAUACUGACGCUCAUGCACGAAAGCGUGGGGAGCAAACAGG